rnacentral:misc_RNA from 1 species
GACGUAGGUGGCGAACGUUAUCCGGAAUUAUUGGGCGUAAAGGGUGCGUAGAUGGCUUAGUAAGUUGGCGGUGGGAAAACGAGGCCCAACCUCGUGGAAGCCGGCAAUACUACUAAGCUCGAGUACAGGAGAAGUUAAUGGAACUCCAUGUGGAGCGGUAAAAUGCACAGAUAUAUGGAAGAACACCAAUAAAGGCGAAGGCAAUUAACUAUUCUGUUACUGACAUUGAGGCACGAAAGCGUGGGGAGCAAAACGG